rnacentral:rRNA from 1 species
AACCCAGUGCAAUUCGUUGCACUAUCGUUAACUGAAUACAUAGGUUAACGAGGCGAACCGGGGGAACUGAAACAUCUAAGUACCCCGAGGAAAAGAAAUCAACCGAGAUUCCCCCAGUAGCGGCGAGCGAACGGGGAGCAGCCCAGAGUCUGAAUCAGCUUGUGUGUUAGUGGAACGGUCUGGAAAGUCCGACGGUACAGGGUGAUAGUCCCGUACACCAAAAUGCACAGGUUGUGAACUCGAAGAGUAGGGCGGGACACGUGGUAUCCUGUCUGAAUAUGGGGGGACCAUCCUCCAAGGCUAAAUACUCCUGACUGACCGAUAGUGAACCAGUACCGUGAGGGAAAGGCGAAAAGAACCCCGGCGAGGGGAGUGAAAAAGAACCUGAAACCGUGUACGUACAAGCAGUGGGAGCACCUUCGGGUGUGACUGCGUACCUUUUGUAUAAUGGGUCAGCGACUUAUAUUCUGUAGCAAGGUUAACCGUAUAGGGGAGCCGCAGGGAAACCGAGUCUUAACUGGGCGUUAAGUUGCAGGGUAUAGACCCGAAACCCGGUGAUCUAGCCAUGGGCAGGUUGAAGGUUGGGUAACACUAACUGGAGGACCGAACCGACUAAUGUUGAAAAAUUAGCGGAUGACUUGUGGCUGGGGGUGAAAGGCCAAUCAAACCGGGAGAUAGCUGGUUCUCCCCGAAAGCUAUUUAGGUAGCGCCUCGUGAAUUCAUCUUCGGGGGUAGAGCACUGUUUCGGCUAGGGGGUCAUCCCGACUUACCAACCCGAUGCAAACUACGAAUACCGAAGAAUGUUAUCACGGGAGACACACGGCGGGUGCUAACGUCCGUCGUGAAGAGGGAAACAACCCAGACCGCCAGCUAAGGUCCCAAAGUCAUGGUUAAGUGGGAAACGAUGUGGGAAGGCACAGACAGCCAGGAUGUUGGCUUAGAAGCAGCCAUCAUUUAAAGAAAGCGUAAUAGCUCACUGGUCGAGUCGGCCUGCGCGGAAGAUGUAACGGGGCUAAACCAUGCACCGAAGCUGCGGCAGCGACACUAUGUGUUGUUGGGUAGGGGAGCGUUCUGUAAGCCUGCGAAGGUGACCUGUGAGGGUUGCUGGAGGUAUCAGAAGUGCGAAUGCUGACAUAAGUAACGAUAAAGCGGGUGAAAAGCCCGCUCGCCGGAAGACCAAGGGUUCCUGUCCAACGUUAAUCGGGGCAGGGUGAGUCGACCCCUAAGGCGAGGCCGAAAGGCGUAGUCGAUGGGAAACAGGUUAAUAUUCCUGUACUUGGUGUUACUGCGAAGGGGGGACGGAGAAGGCUAUGUUAGCCGGGCGACGGUUGUCCCGGUUUAAGCAUGUAGGCUGGUUGUCCAGGCAAAUCCGGAUAAUCAAGGCUGAGGUGUGAUGACGAGGCACUACGGUGCUGAAGUAACAAAUGCCCUGCUUCCAGGAAAAGCCUCUAAGCAUCAGGUAACAUCAAAUCGUACCCCAAACCGACACAGGUGGUCAGGUAGAGAAUACCAAGGCGCUUGAGAGAACUCGGGUGAAGGAACUAGGCAAAAUGGUGCCGUAACUUCGGGAGAAGGCACGCUGGUGUGUAGGUGAAGUCCCUGCGG